rnacentral:misc_RNA from 1 species
GUUGUGAUCCACAAAAGAAAUGUACCAUUGAUCAUUGUAAGUACAUGUGCAUGGAAUGAACGCACAAGAUGAUAAGGUUUAGUACUAACAUACAAGCCUACCUACCUAUUAUAUUCUGCAGUGGAACACAAGCUUUUCUUUCUACUAAACUAAACUAGCUGCUCUUCUUGCACAGGGAUUUGAUGAUCAUGCAACAGGAAUUUUCGGUUCCCCUAAAUUUACAAAGGCCUGUGCUCGAGCCAUGCGUCCCAAUGCCGCAUCCCAAGAAACAAGAUGAUUCAUAAACACAUUAACAUACUUUGCUUUAUCAUUCUGUCAAAAGAGAGGAC